rnacentral:rRNA from 1 species
CCUACGGGAGGCAGCAGUAAGGAAUAUUGCACAAUGGGCGCAAGCCUGAUGCAGCAACGCCGCGUGUGUGAAGAAGGCCUUCGGGUUGUAAAGCACUUUCGCCGGGGACAAACACGGCGGGGCUAAUACCUCUGCUUCUGAUGGUACCCGGAGAAGAAGCACCGGCUAACUCUGUGCCAGCAGCCGCGGUAAU